UGCAAGUCGAGCGGUAGAGAGAAGCUUGCUUCUCUUGAGAGCGGCGGACGGGUGCAGUAAUGCCUAGGAAUCUGCCUGGUAGUGGGGGAUAACGUUCGGAAACGGACGCUAAUACCGCAUACGUCCUACGGGAGAAAGCAGGGGACCUUCGGGCCUUGCGCUAUCAGAUGAGCCUAGGUCGGAUUAGCUAGUUGGUGAGGUAAUGGCUCACCAAGGCGACGAUCCGUAACUGGUCUGAGAGGAUGAUCAGUCACACUGGAACUGAGACACGGUCCAGACUCCUACGGGAGGCAGCAGUGGGGAAUAUUGGACAAUGGGCGAAAGCCUGAUCCAGCCAUGCCGCGUGUGUGAAGAAGGUCUUCGGAUUGUAAAGCACUUUAAGUUGGGAGGAAGGGCAUUAACCUAAUACGUUAGUGUUUUGACGUUACCGACAGAAUAAGCACCGGCUAACUCUGUGCCAGCAGCCGCGGUAAUACAGAGGGUGCAAGCGUUAAUCGGAAUUACUGGGCGUAAAGCGCGCGUAGGUGGUUUGUUAAGUUGGAUGUGAAAUCCCCGGGCUCAACCUGGGAACUGCAUUCAAAACUGACUGACUAGAGUAUGGUAGAGGGUGGUGGAAUUUCCCUGUGUAGCGGUGAAAUGCGUAGAUAUAGGAAGGAACAC
rnacentral:rRNA from 1 species